UCACAGUAUCAAGCUUGGCUUGUUGUUGGGCCCUUUGUCACCUGGUGACAGGUCCAAAAGAUAAUCACCGGUGUCAUACAGACUCUAUAUGCAACGAGCUUAUCAAAGCAUGCAUCUGGUAGUUGUGUGGCCCGGUUUCUCACUUUGACAAGUAUAUUUCUCAA
rnacentral:misc_RNA from 1 species